rnacentral:lncRNA from 1 species
UGUUAAUGAUGAGGCUCGAAAAAAAAAUGUAAGAAAUUUCCUGUUAAUAAUGUGAAAUCUGCUAGCAGUAUCUGUUAUGAGAAGCAGUAAACUAUUGAAUAAUUAGCACUUGUUGCAUGAGUCACACUGUGAAAGCACUUAUAAUUAGCACUUGUUUUCAUUUGGUAGUUUUACGAUGAUUAACUCAUUCUCACUUGAUCAAAUAAUUAGAGAUUUUAGUGAUGUUAAGAUUCAUAUGACAGUGUUUGUUAUAUGAAAUAUAAGAGAAGAACUUUACUCUAUUUUUCCUUUGUAUUAAUAUUAUUUGCAGGAAGAGUUACAAAAAGAAAUUCGUGCAUCGAAUUCAGUGAAUCAAUCCUUUGUGAAAGUGUUUGGAAAAGAGCAUAAUGGGUAUGUUCGAGGAGUAGGACUUGGUGUAACACCAUCUCAGAUUUUUGGACAUAGUUUAGCAUAACUGAUUAUUAAUUUUGAAUAAGAUAUAUGUGACCUUCUGUGUGUAAUCUUGCAAAUAUGAGGGUGGUUUAUGUAUGUUCUAGGCUUCCUUUGUGAUUCAUUUCCGUAAACCCUUUUCCUGUUAAAUCAUACCUACCAACGAAAUCAGUAUUGGUGUUUGCUUUUGGAGAUUAGGAUAUUUAAUGUUGCUGGUAGCAUCAUGUUCUGUUUUGGCAUCAUUGAUAUGGUUUAUGUUUUUUAAGAAACCUGAUUGCCAGAUGCAACAGCUGAAGGGUAAUGCUCUGUUUUGCACAAAUAACAGUUGUAGUACUCCAUCCCAUGUAUUCAUCCAACAGUCCAAUGUAAACAACAUAGGUUUAUAUAGUCUAGAGGAUUUUCAAAUUGUAAUCGGCAGAGGUGCGGGAUGAUGAUUUUCUAAUGGUAUGUUUAAGAAAGAAAUAGGUGUAGGCAAACAGUUUCAUUGGUAGGCUCAGUUAAUGGCUGAGCAGUUUGAUGUUUAAAAGAGGAAGUAAUUGUCUUGUUAAAUUUUCAUGUUCAAAAGAUGUGUUUUAUUCCAUAUUUUUCAGCUGAAUAUAACUACUAUCUGUUAAUCAUACAUGCCAUUCUCUCUUUUGUUAAGUUGUGCUAAUGAGCUAUGUCAUCCAUAUGUAAUAGAGAAUACAUUAAAUCAUGAUUUUUUGGAGAACUUUAACUAAUGAGCUUUGCUUAUAAGAGAAGAACUUUACUCUGCUUCCUUUAGUGAUGUUAAUAUUAUUUGUAGAAUCUAUUGCAGGUUUUUGCAGAAAAAUCAAAGCACCUUUUUUCUCUCAUCAUAUAGGGUAAAAGUCUCGGAAGGAAAAGGCAAGGGGAAGGAUCAAUGAGACACUGUUGAUUCCUAGUCUUCCUCAUCUAUAUUGUAUUCUUAAUGAUUUCUAUGUAUCUCUCCCUUGAAUAAUAACACAUUCAUUCUUUUAUUUUUCAACUUUACGCAAUAUU